GGGACGGUAGCUCAGCCUGGGAGAGCGCACGGCUGAAGACCGUGUUGUCCGGGGUUCAAAUCCCCGCCGUCCCACCA
rnacentral:tRNA from 1 species